CCAGCAGACACUUCGUUAGGUUGGUAAUUUGCGUAAACAAACCAGGCAAACAGGAUGACACACAUGGGGAACUGACAGUAGUUGCGUUUUUGAUUAAAUAUGUACAAUUACUGACAGAAAACUAAUAGUGCGCCGUGUCAAGAAGGGCAAACAGUAUGUAAAUAGUAAAGAAAAAAAGUUCGAAACAUGAAAACGUGCUUAUGUUUCGUAUGUUAAGUUCUGAAGCAGCCUGUGACCAAAUGAAAGGAAACGCAGAUGCCGGCCAAAACCGCAAAGAACUAGUGUCACAGAAAUGGGAAAACAAAAAUCUGAACUGACAUAACAUGCUGCAAAGAUGGACACUAUCUCAUGAAAAUAUAUUUGUAAAAUAUGAAGAACUGAUUCUCAGUGAGAAACAGGUAGAGAAUCAUGAUACUACUAUGUACCACUUCCUUGGAAAUGUUGAAGCUAAAUUAGUUUAAUUAUAGCUGACACAGAUUCAUGUCAAUAAUGCCACAUACUGCCAUUUGGUUUAAACUUGAUAGGGUAGCGAUAAAUGCCAAAAUAUAGUAAAUGUUUUAUGUGGUCUGGUCAGCCAUUCAGAAAAGAUAUUGUCAAAUUACUGUUAUCUAAUUUCUGCUUCACGCUCAGUCUCAAGAGCAAAUCAUAUUGUCAAAAUAAAGAAAAUGCAACUUCACAUAAUAAGGAAAUAUUUAUCUUAAUUUGAUGUAUGAGUUGUAACUCACCAACCUGCUUCAUAUACCACUGCCUCAUAGAAUUUCUUCUUUGAUUUUGAUAUUCUUUUUGUGGUUAUUGAUGGUGAUUAACUGUUAUUAAAUGAUGUACACAUCA